rnacentral:lncRNA from 1 species
CUGUAGUAUGACAUGGCAUUGUCAUUAAGCAAGUGAAUGCAAGGACUGGCUUUUUCUCUGUCUAAAUGGAUCUUCUCUACAGAUGUUUGUAGCUCUGUCCAUUUUUUCAGGCUUUCCUUUAUUUCAGAAGAACUUGGCUGCACUGAUUAUUGAUGCUCCCCCUCCUCUCCAGAAAGCUCCUUAGCUGCCAUUCUCUGUUGCUCCAGCCAGAAGUUGCUGAAAUUCCUCUGCAGACAAUUCCUCUGAGUGCUCCUCCACCAGAUCCUCAACAUCACCACUGUCUACCUGCAAGCCUACGUACUCUGCUAUAGUGACAAUGUCAUCAACUGCAGGGAUGAAGCUCUGAGGAUCGUGCUGGUGCAGAAGCAGACUCGUGCUGGCCAGCAGACAGGUUCAAGCCAGCUUCACUACACCCUACCUCCUAUGUCAAUACUCGCUACAAAAAACUCACUGGAAGAAGCGAAUAAUCCAAAUUAUCUGAGAUCCAUGAAAGAAACUGAACUUGAAGUUAAAAUCUUCCUACGACAACAAAACAAAAAACCAUAAAAACCCUCCAGGCCUGGAUGCCUUUGCUGGAGAAUUCCAUCAAACAUUUAAGGAAGGUAUAGUACCGGUUCUAUAAAUAAGUGAUGUGAA